rnacentral:rRNA from 1 species
CCUACGGGAGGCAGCAGUGGGGGAUAUUGCACAAUGGGGGGAACCCUGAUGCAGCGACGCCGCGUGGGUGAAGGAGUGCUUCGGCAUGUAAAGCCCUAUCGGCAGGGAAGAAGCAAGACGGUACCUGACUAAGAAGCCCCGGCUAACUACGUGCCAGCAGCCGCGGUAAUACGUAGGGGGCGAGCGUUAUCCGGAUUCACUGGGUGGAAAGGGAGCGUAGACGGCCAUGCAAGCCAGGGGGGAAAGCCCGGGGCCCAACCCCGGGACUGCCCUUGAAACUGCAUGGCUGGAGUGCGGGAGGGGCAGGCGGAAUGCCUGGUGUAGCGGUGAAAUGCGUAGAUAUCAGGAGGAACACCGGCGGCGAAGGCGGCCUGCUGGACCGCGACUGACGUUGAGGCUCGAAAGCGUGGGGAGCGAACAGGAUUAGAUACCCUUGUAGUC